rnacentral:rRNA from 1 species
CCUACGGGAGACAGCAGUGGGGGAUAUUGCACAAUGGGGGGAACCCUGAUGCAGCGACGCCGCGUGGGUGAAGGAGUGCUUCGGCAUGUAAAGCCCUAUCGGCAGGGAAGAAGCAAGACGGUACCUGACUAAGAAGCCCCGGCUAACUACGUGCCAGCAGCCGUGGCAAUACGUAGGGGGCGAGCGUUAUCCGGAAACACUGGGGUGAAAGGGAGCGUAGACGGCCAUGCAAGCCAGGGGGGAAAGCCCGGGGCCCAACCCCGGGACUGCCCUUGGGACUGUGCGGCUAGAGUGCGGGAGGGGCAGGCGGAAUUCCUGGUGAAGCGGUGAAAUGCGUAGAUAUCAGGAGGAACACCAGCGGCGAAGGCGGCCUGCUGGACCGCGACUGACGUUGAGGCUCGAAAGCGUGGGGAGCGAACAGGAUUAGAUACCCGUGUAGUC